rnacentral:rRNA from 1 species
UACGUAGGCAGCGAGCGUUGUCCGGAAUCAUUGGGCGUAAAGCGCACGUAGGCGGUCCGUUAAGUCUCUUGGUGAAAGGCUGGGGCUCAACCCUAUGCAUGCCGGGGAUACUGGGGGACUGGAGACAGGUAGAGGCGAGCGGAAUUCCGGGUGUAGCGGUGGAAUGCGUAGAGAUCCGGAAGAACACCGGAGGCGAAGGCGGCUCGCUGGACCUGAUCUGACGCUGAGGUGCGAAAGCGUGGGGAGCGAACAGG